rnacentral:rRNA from 1 species
UAGGGAAUCUUCCACAAUGGACGAAAGUCUGAUGGAGCAACGCCGCGUGAGUGAUGAAGGGUUUCGGCUCGUAAAACUCUGUUGUUGGAGAAGAACAGGUGUCAGAGUAACUGUUGACAUCUUGACGGUAUCCAACCAGAAAGCCACGGCUAACUACGUGCCAGCAGCCGCGGUAAUACGUAGGUGGCAAGCGUUGUCCGGAUUUAUUGGGCGUAAAGCGAGCGCAGGCGGUUUCUUAGGUCUGAUGUGAAAGCCUUCGGCUUAACCGGAGAAGUGCAUCGGAAACCAGGAGACUUGAGUGCAGAAGAGGACAGUGGAACUCCAUGUGUAGCGGUGAAAUGCGUAGAUAUAUGGAAGAACACCAGUGGCGAAGGCGGCUGUCUGGUCUGUAACUGACGCUGAGGCUCGAAAGCAUGGGUAGCGAACAGGAUUAGAUACCCUGGUAGUCCAUGCCGUAAACGAUGAGUGCUAAGUGUUGGAGGGUUUCCGCCCUUCAGUGCUGCAGCUAACGCAUUU